rnacentral:lncRNA from 1 species
AUGCCUAGGGGUGAGUACAGGCUCCUUUCACAGCUCUGUGAAAACCUGUUUCUUCACAGGGAAGCUAUGGAAAUGGCGCCAGCCAUCCCAGCUCUUCAUGGGACUUGGUUCCACCCACUGAACAGGAUUAUUCUUCCCAAGGGGUUCUGUUCUGAGUGUAUGGAAAUAGCAACAAAUGAAGCCUUUCCCAUUUACCUAGAAGUCUCACCUUCUUCUGCAGAAAUGCUAAUGAAGGAGGCUGGAGCUGUAAGAUCGUGUGGGAGACCCCUUUGCUCAGCAGAGCUAUGGAGGUAAGCAUGUAAAGAAUCCUAGAAAAGAGAAGAAAUGUUGGAUUUAUAUCAAAAGCCUAAAAUUGCUUCUGCCCAUUGCUGUCUUUACUACUUUUCUUUCCAUAAAGUGGCAGUUUCAUUACCAUUAGGAUUUUACAGCAGGUUAAUUAGCAUGCCAAAGAUAUUCUGUUUAACUAAGAAUUUUUUUUUUUCUUUUUUUUCUUUUUUUUUUUUUUUUUGCUAUGAGUAUAAGUCCAGAAUAGGAAGCUGCACUGACAUUGUUAAAACUUGAUCAGAGACUAAAAAUAUAGUUGUAACUUCUGAAAAGUAAAUGGCUAUUUCCUGACUUACAUGAAAGUUUCUUUCAUGUGCUAUAUACAAAUGUUUUAAAGCAGUCAUAAAUGAUAAUCUGAAAAGCCCACUUGCAUGGGGGAAUUCUCAGCUAGAAAAAAAACUGGUACAUGGAGUACACAACUUAGGAAAAGCUAAUGCUGCCAGAGUUCUGUGAUCCUUGGCAGAAGCCCUUUGGCUUCUGAUGGACCUCCGGAUGUUUAUAGGCAUUCACAGAAGUCUGAGGCUUCUUGAAACUCUUGUAAACUCUUGGAACUAGGUUCCAUGAGCAGAGGACAGCAGCAACAGAAAGAUUUUUUUUUUUUUUUUUUGUCUUAAUUCAUAUUUUUUUCCACAUCUGUUCUGAGAUGGGUCUGAUUCACCUAAUGUCACACUCAAAAACAUUGCAUCUGCUUUUGAGGAAUUAAUUACAUGUAUGAUCUAGAAACUUUUUCUUUUUUUUUUUUUUUCUCAGACCAGGGAGACCUGCUGGAGUGC